GCACAACGCGAAGAACCUUACCUGGUCUUGACAUAGUAAGAACUUUCCAGAGAUGGAUUGGUGCCUUCGGGAACUUACAUACAGGUGCUGCAUGGCUGUCGUCAGCUCGUGUCGUGAGAUGUUGGGUUAAGUCCCGCAACGAGCGCUAACCCUUUUCCUUAUUUGCCAGCGGGUUAAGCCGGGAACUUUAAGGAUACUGCCAGUGACAAACUGGAGGAAGGCGGGGACGACGUCAAGUCAUCAUGGCCCUUACGACCAGGGCUACACACGUGCUACAAUGGUCGGCACAAAGGGUUGCUACCUAGCGAUAGGAUGCUAAUCUCAAAAAGCCGAUCGUAGUCCGGAUUGGAGUCUGCAACUCGACUCCAUGAGGUCGGAAUCGCUAGUAAUCGCGGAUCAGAAUGCCGCGGUGAAUACGUUCCCGGGUCUUGUACACACCG
rnacentral:rRNA from 1 species